AAAAUUUAAAAAUGAUUACAAGCAUUUAUUAUUGUGAUUUUGAUAUGACCAACAACAAUUUUUGAUUAGUUUUUGCGAUUGCAGGAAAAGCUUAAUACAGAUAUAUGUAUCAGGUGUCAUGAUUAUGUAAUCGUGUGUUUUCGAACCUCAAUUUUCAAUAAGUCUCAUUGAUGUCCAAUAUUCUUGCGAACUUAGAUGCAGAGACCCAUUCAUGAAG